GGGUUGUGAGGUUAAGCGACUAAGCGUACACGGUGGAUGCCCUGGCAGUCAGAGGCGAUGAAGGACGUGCUAAUCUGCGAUAAGCGUCGGUAAGGUGAUAUGAACCGUUAUAACCGGCGAUUUCCGAAUGGGGAAACCCAGUGUGUUUCGACACACUAUCAUUAACUGAAUCCAUAGGUUAAUGAGGCGAACCGGGGGAACUGAAACAUCUAAGUACCCCGAGGAAAAGAAAUCAACCGAGAUUCCCCCAGUAGCGGCGAGCGAACGGGGAGCAGCCCAGAGCCUGAAUCAGUGUGUGUGUUAGUGGAAGCGUCUGGAAAGGCGCGCGAUACAGGGUGACAGCCCCGUACACAAAAAUGCACAUACUGUGAGCUCGAUGAGUAGGGCGGGACACGUGGUAUCCUGUCUGAAUAUGGGGGGACCAUCCUCCAAGGCUAAAUACUCCUGACUGACCGAUAGUGAACCAGUACCGUGAGGGAAAGGCGAAAAGAAC
rnacentral:rRNA from 1 species